rnacentral:lncRNA from 1 species
AAAACAAGGGAAAUGCAAAUAGAAUUAAGUGACUACCAAAAUGUAAGAUAUCAUUGUAGAUUUCAAUGGCUUCAUAUCUCUCAAUUGGAUACUAAGUGUAAAUGUUGUAAACUAAUUUAUUCUUUACUUCUCUCUCUUUUCUGAUUUUUACAAAAAGGCUAAGAAGAUUUUGAUAUUAUACAAUAUAAUAUUUCAGAUAAAGGUAUUUUUACUUACUAUAUGUAACUACUAACAUGUGUAUAAAUUUAGGCAAAUUUCUGAGAUGAAAAAUAGAUUCCUUAAAAAAUACAGUUCUAAAAAAAUAGCUCACAUAGCAACUAUCCACUGAUUUUAAUAGGAUGCAGGUAUCAUUUCAGGAGAAUUUGGCAAAUAAUUCAUUAAUCUACGUAAAUACUCAAAAGCCUGUCUAUCUUUCCAUCUUCAUCAAAGAAUCAAAAUUUUAUUUUCUAUUAUACAUUUAUGGCACCUUUCUAAUAACAAAUUCUAUAACAUAGAAAUUCCUUUUUGAAGUCAGUUCAUGUCAC